AGGAGAUGAGGGCGUGGGGGAGGAAGGAGAAGAGGGCAUGGAAUUCACGGGGGAGGAAGAAGAGGAGGCCAUGGAGGUCGUGGGAGAGAGGGCAGGAGGCCACGGGGGAGGAAGAAGAUGCCCCCUCGUUUCUGAAGUUGGUCUUCACCUCAAAUGCGAUGGCUGCUCCCAGUUGUGGUUGGACAUUCCUGUUCAUUGGUUGCUACUCAUAUGAGAUUUUUUUUUUCAUUUUCCCUACAGAUUGGUCCAAUUUGAGCGGAUUCUCUUCCUCUUGGUCGGUCCCCUGGAUGUGCCUCCCUUGAUCUCUGCCUGCACAUCCUUUAUAAGCACCCUCCUGCGUCUCCGUUCAUGGAUCGACUGAAGAGAAUUUUCUUCUUUGCCAAAGAUUAGCUAUUGUCGGAUAAUUUGCAUGUCAUGGUGGACAUCAGUUGUAAAUUGCAAAGGAGAGCUACUAAUCUUAUUAUAGGUGCAUGGGCACUUGCCGCUGCAGCCAGAGUUGCCACCAAAUCAGAUUAGAAGUUUUUCAAACAGAUUCCUAUAUUUUGAAGUGGUUAUGCUCAUCACAUAGCUGGGCUAGAUCAUGUCUUACUAUAUAAUGUACUUCAUCGUGUCUCAAGCUUCUGUGCUU